rnacentral:rRNA from 3 species
AAAUUGAAGAGUUUGAUCAUGGCUCAGAUUGAACGCUGGCGGCAGGCCUAACACAUGCAAGUCGAACGGUAACAGGAAGCAGCUUGCUGUUUCGCUGACGAGUGGCGGACGGGUGAGUAAUGUCUGGGAAACUGCCUGAUGGAGGGGGAUAACUACUGGAAACGGUGGCUAAUACCGCAUAACGUCGCAAGACCAAAGAGGGGGACCUUCGGGCCUCUUGCCAUCAGAUGUGCCCAGAUGGGAUUAGCUUGUUGGUGAGGUAACGGCUCACCAAGGCGACGAUCCCUAGCUGGUCUGAGAGGAUGACCAGCCACACUGGAACUGAGACACGGUCCAGACUCCUACGGGAGGCAGCAGUGGGGAAUAUUGCACAAUGGGCGCAAGCCUGAUGCAGCCAUGCCGCGUGUAUGAAGAAGGCCUUCGGGUUGUAAAGUACUUUCAGCGGGGAGGAAGGUGUUGUGGUUAAUAACCACAGCAAUUGACGUUACCCGCAG